rnacentral:lncRNA from 1 species
CAAAGAGGAAGAAAGCAAGCACGACCCCUACUCCCAAAUGUGGUCGAACUGAGGCCGUCCUUGCCCAGCCUGCAGCUGGGGCUUCCUCGAGGUCAAGCAAUGCUUUGAGGAAGGAAUCUUUGAUGCCGGCAAAGGCGAUGGUGCUGCUCCAAUCUGUCAUGCCGUGGGGCCUGCCCCCGACCUUCUGUCUCCUCAUCACAUCAGAGUUUGAGUGCCCCCCG